rnacentral:rRNA from 1 species
GGCGGCGUGCUUAACACAUGCAAGUCGAACGGAAACGCCCAGCUUGCUGGGUACUCGAGUGGCGAACGGGUGAGUAACACGUGGGUGAUCUGCCCCAAACUUCGGGAUAAGCCUGGGAAACUGGGUCUAAUACCGGAUAUGACCUGCUCCUGCAUGGGGGUUGGUGGAAAGCUUUUGCGGUUUGGGAUGGGCCCGCGGCCUAUCAGCUUGUUGGUGGGGUAAUGGCCUACCAAGGCGACGACGGGUAGCCGACCUGAGAGGGUGAUCGGCCACACUGGGACUGAGACACGGCCCAGACUCCUACGGGAGGCAGCAGUGGGGAAUAUUGCACAAUGGGCGCAAGCCUGAUGCAGCGACGCCGCGUGAGGGAUGACGGCCUUCGGGUUGUAAACCUCUUUCGCCAGGGACGAAGCGCAAGUGACGGUACCUGGAGAAGAAGCACCGGCCAACUACGUG